AUUGAACGCUGGCGGCAUGCCUUACACAUGCAAGUCGAACGGCAGCGCGGGGCAACCUGGCGGCGAGUGGCGAACGGGUGAGUAAUAUAUCGGAACGUACCCUGGAGUGGGGGAGUAACGUAGCGAAAGUUAACGCUAAUACCGCAUACGAUCUAAGGAUGAAAGCAGGGGACCGGCAAGGCCUUGUGCUCCUGGAGCGGCCGAUAUCUGAUUAGCUAGUUGGUAGGGUAAAGCCNCCAAGGCAUCGAUCAGUAGCUGGU
rnacentral:rRNA from 1 species